rnacentral:lncRNA from 1 species
CUUUUUACGCUCCCUAAAUAUGUUGAAAAUAUAAGUGUUCCUGAAAUGAUAAAUAUCGAUGAAAUAUAAUGAAUCGCAAGUCCAUAAGAGUCCUUACGUAGAUUUAGAAGAUACCAUUAGAAAAGAUGCACCGAGUAAUAGACUUUUUAAUCUUAUGUCAAGAUCUAACGGGAAAUUCCAGAUAAUCCAAAUACUAGAAAGCAUUCAAAGUCGAAGGAAAUUAAUUUGCGGGUAAAAACGAAGAUGCAAGAUAUACGAUACGAUACGACGCAUACAGGAAUCGUUCCAAGAAAAUGUUCAUCGGACCCCUUUCGGUUUGAUCUUCAAAAUCCCGCGAUUGCAAUGCUUUAUCGGAAAUUUCUUUUUGGCAUUAAAUAACUUUGAAAAAGUGUCUUCUUAAGUUAUUGCCAGAUUCUUAUAGAUUUUCCAACCCUUAUACGUAUACGAUAGAUUAGAUCUUUCAAAGAAUAAUAAGGUCUUUAUAUUUUUCUUUUUUCCUCGAAGUUAUAAUCAUUUAAUCAAUAGUAAUUUCGAAUUACAAUCACAAAUUGUAUGCGUGUAUAUGCGUGUAUAUGCGUGCACGUGUAUAUGGCACGAUGAUAAGAAAAACUCGUUGAAAGAUCUUCGUAUCUUAUAUCGCGUGUACAAAAGUAAAAAUAAAAACGAAAUUUACAGCCGUUCAAAUUGA